UACGUAGGGUGCAAGCGUUAAUCGGAAUUACUGGGCGUAAAGCGUGCGCAGGCGGUUUUGUAAGUCUGAUGUGAAAUCCCCGGGCUCAACCUGGGAAUUGCAUUGGAAACUGCAAGGCUAGAGUGUGUCAGAGGGGGGUAGAAUUCCACGUGUAGCAGUGAAAUGCGUAGAUAUGUGGAGGAACACCGAUGGCGAAGGCAGCCCCCUGGGAUAACACUGACGCUCAUGCACGAAAGCGUGGGGAGCAAACAGG
rnacentral:rRNA from 1 species